GCCCGGUUAGCUCAAUCGGUAGAGCGUGAGACUCUUAAUCUCAAGGUUGCGGGUAAGCUAUUCUGCCAAUAACAAUUGGGAAACGAAUUGUACUAACAUCCACAACCAGGUUCGACCCCCGCAUUGGGCU